CCUACGGGAGGCAGCAGUGGGGAAUAUUGCACAAUGGGCGAAAGCCUGAUGCAGCAACGCCGCGUGCGCGAUGAAGGCCUUCGGGUCGUAAAGUUCUUUUCUCAAGGAGGAUUAUGAUGGUAACUUAUGAAUAAGCCUCGGCUAACUACGUGCCAGCAGCCGCGGUCAUACGUAGGGUGCGAGCGUUAUCCGGAAUGACUGGGUGUAAAGGGUGGGGUGGUGGUUUUUUAAGUCAGAGGUUAAAGUCUAGGGUCCAACCGUAGUAAGCCUUUGAAACUGGGGUACUUGAGGGCAGGAGAGGAGAGUGGAAUUCCUAGUGUAGCGGUGAAAUGCGUAGAUAUUAGGAGGAACACCAGUUGCGAAGGCAGCUCUCUGGACUGUAACUGACACUGAGGCACGAAAGCGUGGGGAGCAAACAGGAUUAGAUACCCCAGUAGUC
rnacentral:rRNA from 1 species